GAUGAACGCUGGCGGCGUGCCUAAUACAUGCAAGUCGAGCGAACGGACGAGAAGCUUGCUUUUCUGAUGUUAGCGGCGGACGGGUGAGUAACACGUGGAUAACCUACCUAUAAGACUGGGAUAACUUCGGGAAACCGGAGCUAAUACCGGAUAAUAUUUUGAACCGCAUGGUUCAAAAGUGAAAGACGGUCUUGCUGUCACUUAUAGAUGGAUCCGCGCUGCAUUAGCUAGUUGGUAAGGUAACGGCUUACCAAGGCAACGAUGCAUAGCCGACCUGAGAGGGUGAUCGGCCACACUGGAACUGAGACACCGUCCAGACGCCUACGGGAGGCAGCAGUAGGGAAUCUUCCGCAAUGGGCGAAAGCCUGACGGAGCAACGCCGCGUGAGUGAUGAAGGUCUUCGGAUCGUAAAACUCUGUUAUUAGGGAAGAACAUAUGUGUAAGUAACUGUGCACAUCUUGACGGUACCUAAUCAGAAAGCCACGGCUAACUACGUG
rnacentral:rRNA from 1 species